rnacentral:rRNA from 1 species
AGAGUUUGAUCCUGGCUCAGAACGAACGCUGGCGGCAGGCUUAACACAUGCAAGUUGAACGGGAUUUGUAUGGUGCUUGCACCAUGUAAUGAGAGUAGCGCACUGGUGAGUAACACGUGGGAACAUACCUUGAAGAGGGGGACAACAGUUGGAAACGACUGCUAAUACCGCAUAAUCCCUGAGGGGGAAAGAUUUAUCGCUUUAAGAUUGGCCCGCGGAAGAUUAGGUAGUUGGUGGGGUAAAGGCCUACCAAGCCGACGAUCUAUAGCUGGUCUGAGAGGACGAACAGCCACAUUGGAACUGAGACACGGUCCAGACUCCUACGGGAGGCAGCAGUGAGGAAUAUUGGGCAAUGGAGGAAACUCUGACCCAGCCAUGCCGCGUGAGUGAAGAAGGUUUUCGAAUUGUAAAGCUCUUUCGGAUGGGACGAUGAUGACGGUACCAUCUAAAGAAGCCCCGGCAAACUUCGUGCCAGCAGCCGCGGUAAUACGAAGGGGGCAAGCGUUGUUCGGAAUUACUGGGCGUAAAGGGUGUGUAGGCGGAUUUGUAAGAUAGUGGUGAAAUACCUGAGCUCAACUUAGGAAUUGCCAUUAUAACUAUAGAUCUGGAGUGACAGAGAGGAUAUUGGAAUACCCAGUGUAGAGGUGAAAUUCGUAGAUAUUGGGUAGAACACCAGUGGCGAAGGCGAGUAUCUGGCUGUCAACUGACGCUGAGGCACGAAAGCAUGGGGAUCAAACAGGAUUAGAUACCCUGGUAGUCCAUGCUGUAAACGAUGAAUGCUAGUUGUCGGCAAAAGCCGGUGACGCAGUUAACGCGAUAAGCAUUCCGCCUGGGGAGUACGGUCGCAAGAUUAAAACUCAAAGGAA